UUUAGCUGGUCAAGCUAAAACCAACCUGACCAGUUUAGGCUGGUUUUAGCUGUAUUUUUCAGCCGGGAAUUUCCUGUACGUUUCAUUUACAUUAUCUUUUUGCUUUUAAAGUAACAUAUGCUGAAUUCGGAACCACAUAAUAGGCUACUACUCAUACUACCUUUAUCACAUAUUUCUGUGGCAGAAAUAGUGAGAGCAGUAUGCUAGUAUGCGUUUCAGAAUUCAGCAUGAGCCUACUUUUUUUUUACACAAUAAGUAGUCGGUGAGCUUUUGUUUUGAGAACCGCUGAGCUCGGACGGGAAAAUCGGAGUGAUUCAUUGAAAAGAUCCGAUUCAAAAGAACAGUUCUUUCACAUCGCGGGAAUUUCUACAAGUUGGAAACUCCCACCGUGUGGAGGGAUUUGUGAUGUCGUGAUAUAUAAAAAGGAAAUCGGCACACGUUGGCUGACACAGCUGUAAGCAGGACCAACAUUCCUCCUGGACAUCCCAGUACUGGACAUCCGUAGUGAAUCAUGUCUGGAAUCGGCUUUCUGAAGAUAUACUUCAUCGGAACUGCAUUUUCUCUUCUGGUGGCUUUGUUUGGACUGGUUGAUUCAGUCGGGGGCCUAAUGUUUCCUCAAGGAUCCUACUGUGCAGACGACAGCUGGACAGAGAAACAUCCCCCCGUGUCUCCAUCUCGGACUGCUGCUGCUGCCAACAACAAACGCAUCGGGUCGAGAUGAUCUGGAUCUUCUCCACCGCCAUCGGUGACCAGUCUUUAAUUGCACUAGGAGAAAUAAUUAAGGUUACUGACCUACUAAAACCUAAAAUUGGAAUUGUUUCCUCCAUUACACUACUGUGAGCUGUGUGAAUCAUGUGAAAUAUGAGACCAUAUGAAGAACACCGAUGAUGGCUUCUGGUACUACAGAUAUGAGAUGCAAAAUCUUCACCUUUUUUACUUGUUAUUCUGGUUUCUGCAAAGAACUUGUCUGACUUUAUGAAAAACUCUUAAGGCAGUAAAAAGAGGGAUUGAAAGCUUAAUAGCUACUACAAACAUGAUACAUGAACAUGCUGGACUGCUGUAAAAUAUUGAAAUCCCAUGUGAUCAAAAUUAUUAGUAUGUUUUUAUUGUUUGCUCCUUUUACACUGUUUAUAUGACUACAUUUGUAACACCUAGACUGUUAAAAUCGUUGUUGGUUUUUUUUCACUUUGAGAAAUUGAGGCAUUAGGCUGCAGGAUUUGGUUUUAUUUUGUUUUUUAAAACUUGCACUUUUUUCUUUUUCUUGCAUUGUGGGUUGAGGGUCUGAAAGAUAUGAGCAGCCAAACAAAAUUGUUACUGAAACUAUCUGUUUUAUAUGCAACUGAAUAAAAAUAUGUACGUUAACACUCUUUAUCACUGUAGCAUGCUGGUUUUAUGCAUUAAAGGUUUGAUAAACUUUUUAAA